rnacentral:rRNA from 1 species
UACGUAGGGUCCGAGCGUUGUCCGGAUUUAUUGGGCGUAAAGAGCUCGUAGGCGGUUUUCGUAAGUCGGAUGUGAAAACUCAGGGCUCAACCCGGAGACGCCAUCUGAUACUGCGAUGACUUGAGUCUGGUAGGGGGAUCACGGAAUUCCUGGUGUAGCGGUGAAAUGCGCAGAUAUCAGGAGGAACACCGAUGGCGAAGGCAGUGAUCUGGGCCAGUACUGACGCUGAGGAGCGAAAGCGUGGGGAGCAAACAGG